GGACAACACACAAAAACCUACUGUUGCAACACCCAGAGCUUGCAGAAAGGCCUGCUGGAAGUUGUGCAAUCAAGCUUAUAUUCAUAUUGUUGCCACUUUUGCUGCUUAACAUCCAAGACGUCAACUAAUUCCGUGGGUGCAUUUGUAAUAUAAGGCUAAUCUGAACUGAAUUUCUGCUCACAAGCCAGCUGAUAAAUACAAACUAAGAAAUAUAAUCAAGUAAUUUUUUUACUUAAUCUGAGGCAAUUAGUCUAUAUUUAUUCAGGCAUUGGAGAGUGAGUUUAUUGACCCUGAUUUUCACGGAAAAUGAAUUUCUAAGUUGCACGUGACAGUACCCUCAUAAACCACACUUUAAAGAUGUAAACACAAGUAUAUGGAGUAGAAAUGCUUCCACACUCCUUCAAUCAGAGAACAGAAGAAUUCCCUCUGACCAGUACCAACUAAGCAACAAAGCUCAAGUAGCAAAUAUUGAAAACCUGCAGGAAAUUGUUGAUGGUCAAUCCAUGGAGUAACAAAUGAAUUCACAGAAAUCACAAUCUGGUCGAAGAUAUUCUGUGAGCAAAUACAUAUAUAUAUAUUUGUUAAUGACCAAAACACUGAUAACUAUAAUCCUGAGAUAUAGAUUUGGAGCCCGAUCUUAUUUUGACUAAAGUCACUGGCAAAACAACAAUGGCUUCAGUUAGAGCAAGGCUGACUUUUUGUUUUGUUGGUGGACUAGUAUCAAUAAUAACACUAUUAGUUUUUUCUAGUUUGCUUUUCAAAUACCUUUAAGUUCCCUUUGCCACCAUGUUUUAAGGACAUUCUACCAAAACAUGAAUUAAAACUGCCAUUUUGUAAUUUUUAUAUAUAUCUCAAGCUGAUAGCAGUUUUUCAUAUCUUAAUGUCUACUGUUUUAAUCUGUAUUUCCCACCCCCUUCCUUCAGAUACUGUCUCAGAAAUGCAUACAGGCUUGAUUUGUGAGAUUUUAGUGCUGAACUUGGGAUAUGGGAAAGAUUGUUCUUAAUUAUAUUAUUUAUUGUACCAUAAUAUAUUUAUAUGUACCUUCUGCUACAGCAGCAGUAAGCUGUUUUCUAAAGCCAUUAUCUGAGUGCUGUGGA